rnacentral:rRNA from 1 species
UCUUAUGGGAGGCAGCAGUGGGGAAUUUUGGACAAUGGGGGCAACCCUGAUCCAGCCAUUCCGCGUGAGUGAAGAAGGCCUUCGGGUUGUAAAGAUCUUUCAGCCGGAAAGAAAUGGUGCUUUUUAAUAUAGGGGGUGGAUGACGGUACCGGAAGAAGAAGCACCGGCUAAAUACGUGCCAGCAGCCGCGGUAAUACGUAGGGUGCGAGCGUUAAUCGGAAUUAUUGGGGGUAAAGCGUGCGCAGGCGGGUUUUUAAGCCAGAUGUGAAAUACCCGGGGUUAACCUGGGAAAAGCAUUUUUGACUGGAAGGGUAGAGUGUGGCAGAGGGGGGUAGAAUUCCACGUGUAGCAGUGAAAAGCGUAGAGAUGUGGAGGAAAACCGAUGGGGAAGGCAGCCCCCCGGGGUAACACUGACGCUCAUGCACGAAAAAGUGGGGAGCAAACACGAUUAGAUACCCCGGUAGUCCACGCCCCAAACGAUGUCAACUAGUUGUUGGGGGAGUGAAAUUCCUUAGUAACGCAGCUAACGCGUGAAGUGACCGCCU